UCAGUAUCUGGUGUGACCACCAUUUGCCUCACGCAGUGCAACACAUCUCCUUCGCAUAGAGUUGAUCAGGUUGUUGAUUGUGGCCUGUGGAAUGUUGGACCACUCCUCUUCAAUGGCUGUGCAAAGUUGCUGGAUAUUGGCGGGACCUGGAACACGCUUUCGUAUACGCUGAUCCACAGCAUCCCAAACAUUCUCAAUGGGUGACAUGUCCGGCGCAGCUCCUGGCGCUGCCACCUGAGGACCCCGAGGAUGAGGUGCAAGCCGGUACGAACGGCGAGCAUGGAACUCCGAUGUCAGGGAGGGGUCGCAGAUGUCCACCGCCCGGACCCAGCUGCGCUCCUCAGGGCCGUAACCCGCCCAGUCCACCAGGUACUGGACCUGGCCCUGCCGCAGCCGGGAGUCACACGAUACGUCGGACCCCCAACCACCUCCACUGUGGGUGGAGGCGCCCCUGCAGGACUGAAUCCCCCCAGCGGACCAGGAAUCACCGACCCAAACAGAGAGACAUAGAAAGUUGGUGAGAG
ensembl:lncRNA